rnacentral:ncRNA from 1 species
CGCAAUGCGUGCUUCAAAACGAUAUUAUGAAAUUUUACGCCUUUGAGACGCGCGGUACGAAUAUAUUGAGUUGUCAUGACCUCUGCCAUAGAAGCACGCGUCAUCCGCGCAAUAUAGCCCAUGCCAUAAAGUGCCAUCGUCAUCACCGGCAAGGUAAAGUUGGCAAAGGU